UCGCGGAGGGUUACGUUGGCGGCCGAUAACGUAAUAUCGGGAGUUAGUAAUGAAACACACUUCAUUACUUUCGCAUGAUUUGGGUAUUAUUCUCUUUGGCUACAUUUGGUUCGGGUAUAAGUAAGAACUACUAGUUCUAGGGAUAGGUACAGGUUCAUAUAUAAGCAGGAACUAGACCAAUUUUGCGUUUGGAUGAAAAUUAGGUUGUUCCUAGGAAUAAGGUAAAUAGUGUUUGAAUGGUUAGAUUGGAACGAGAGGAAUAAGAGUUAUAAUUUAAAAUUAAAAUUAUAUUGUGUAAUUAAUUAAUAUCAAAAUAUUACUCAAAAAUAAAAUAAUAAAUUAAUUAUUAAUAAUUAAUUAUAAAUAAUAAUAAGCACCAAUAAUUAUUAAUAAUUAAUUAUAAAUAAUAAAUUAAUAAUAUUGAAUAUCUAAUUAAUAAUAAUAAUAAUAAUUAAUAAAAAAUAAUAAUUAUUAAUUAUUAUUAUAAAUUAAUUAUUAAUAAUAAAUUAAUAAGUAAUUACCGAUUAUCUAAUUUUUUAUUAAUAAUAAUAUCCAAUUAGCUAAUUAUUAAUAAAAUUAUUAUUAAUAUUUAUUAAUAAAUAAUAAUAAUUUAUUAAUACAUUACUAGUAAUAAAUUAAUAAUAUAAAUAUCUAAUUAUUACGGAUAAUAAUAAUUAUUAUUAAUUAUUAAUAAUUAAUUAUAAAUAAUAAAUUAAUAAUAAUAGCGAUUGUCUAAUUAAUAAUUAUUAAUAAUGAACUAUAAUAAUAAAUUAAUAAUACUAUCGAUUAUCUAAGUAUUAAGGAUAAUAAUUAUUAAUAAAUAAGAAUAAAUAUUAUUAAUUAUUAAUAAUUAAUUAUAAAUAAUAAAUUAAUUAUAAUAAUUAUCUAAUUAUUAUUAAUUAAAUAUAAAUAAUUAAUUAUUUAAUUAUUUAAUUAUUAAAGCAAUAAAUAAUAAUUUAAAUAUAUUAAUUAAUAAUUUACUGUCAUUAAAAUUAAAUUUAGAUUUUAAUUAAUCUUGUUCUCAUCAAGGAACAAGCUUGUUCCAAAAAAAAGGUGGAACAGCAGUUCUAGCCUUAUACCAGCUUGUUCUUGAAAUCCUGGAACUACUGUUCCUGGGUACCAAACAUCA
rnacentral:lncRNA from 1 species